CAAACCACAAAAAAGGUUGAAGGCUGAGUCACAGUGAGCUGACUUAAAAAUAGCAAAGCAUUCACUAGAGACCCAACAAAAUGGGGCCUGGGCAGGGAACCUGGCUGGUUGCAGGUGAUCUGGGUUUCCAGAUGAAACUUAUUUUACAUCAUUGAAGUUGAAAUUUAAAUUGAAAGCAUCUUAUUUUCCCCUUUUCUUUUCACAGUUGGAGUUCUGCAAGGGGUGGUGCAUGUGAGAAGGCACACAAGAGCCCAGGAAGAAACUCUCCAGGCCCCAGAGCUUGAGAAGAAGCAUCUGAGGAAGAGUCUGGCAAAGUAAUCCAAGCCAAAGCACAUUUUGGCACUGGAGAAUCCCACCCUGCUCUGGUGCAGCAGGUGGGAGCAGGCAAUACCUAUGAGGGAUUUCCAUCCUGGUAUCACAAGGAGAGGAGGAACAUGCUCAGCCCCUCACUGGGUCUCACCUGAAGGAUGGGCAUCUAAGUUCUGCCAAGGUGGACCACCUUCCACCUGGUAGUUGACACCCGGAUCUGCUGCCUGGGCAUCUUAGAGGUGUUCAGCUGGUGAGGUAAAGGGAAGCACCCUGGUAGAAACAACUCUUAACAGAUAAAAAUGGAUGAAGACCUCAUUUGAAGAAGGAUAUUUUUUGGGCUUCCUGCUACAAGACAGCAUGGAAGCACCUUGCUUAGAAGCCUUCAGAGAGGGAUUAAGCAUCUCCAGGAUGUGGGUGGCACAUCUGAAGUAGGACAGGCACCUCAGUGUUCUUCCCUGGAGAGGUCCCAUCUCAGCUAGCCACCAGCUGGGAAAUCAGCGUCACCUAGUGUUUUGUUUUGUU